rnacentral:rRNA from 1 species
AAAUAGAUUAAAAUAAUUAAGGGCACACAAAGGAUGCCUUGGUAGUAAGAGCCGAUGAAGGACGUGGUAAGCUGCGAUAAGCCUAGAUAAGUUGCAAUCGAACGUAAGAGUCUAGGAUUUCCGAAUGGAGCAAUCUAUUAAGAUGGAGUCUUAAUACGAAAGAGGGAACCGCGUGAACUGAAACAUCUAAGUAACGCGAGGAAAAGAAAGUAAAAACGAUACCCGAAGUAGCGGCGAGCGAAACGGGUCAAGCCUAAACCUUAAAUAUGUCAAGGAUACAGCCGUUGUAUUUAGGGGGUUGAGGGACAGAGUGAUGAAGAACUGUAAGAUAUUCAAUAUAGUGUAUUGAUGAACUAGAAUAGUCUGGAAAGGUUAACCGUAGAAGGUGAAAGUCCUGUAUAGGUAAAUCCUUACACAUAUAACUUUGAUCCCAAGUAACAUGGAACACGAGGAAUUCUGUGUGAAUCAGUGAGGACCAUAUCUCAUAAGGCUAAAUACUCUUACUAACCGAUAGCGCAUAGUACCGUGAGGGAAAGGUGAAAAGAACCCCUGGAGGGGAGUGAAAUAGAACCUGAAAUUGUGUGCUUACAAGCGGUCAGAGCCAGUAAUGGUGAUGGCGUGCCUUUUGGAGAAUGAUCCUGCGAGUUACGUUAAACGGCAAGGUUAAGUAUUACGGAGCCGAAGGGAAACCAAGUCUUAAUAGGGCGAUUUAGUCGUUUGGCGUAGACGCGAAACCUGGUGAUCUAAACCUGUCCAGGAUGAAGCUGUGGUAAGACACAGUGGAGGUCCUAACCCACCGCCGUUGAAAAGUUGGGGGAUGAGGUAGGUUUAGGGGUGAAAAGCCAAUCGAACCAGGAGAUAGCUCGUUCUCUCCGAAAUGCAUCUAGGUGCAGCCUUGAGUGUUCAAUUAUGGGGGUAGAGCACUGAAUGAUCUAGGGGGCAUAUUGCUUACUGAAAUCAAUCAAACUCCGAAUACCAUAAUUUAUAGCUCAGGAGUGAGACUAUGGGAGUUAACUUCCAUUGUCAAAAGGGAAACAACCCAGACCACCAGCUAAGGUCCCUAAUUAUAACUAAGUGGGAAAGGAGGUGGAGAUUCACAAACAACUAGGAGGUUGGCUUAGAAGCAGCCAUACCUUUAAAGAGUGCGUAAUAGCUCACUAGUCGAGAGUCUCUGCGCCGACAAUGUAACGGGGCUAAGUUAUAAACCGAAGCUGUGGAAUCCGUAAGGAUUGGUAGGAGAGCGUUCUGUAGGCCGUUGAAGGAGAAGGGUAACCGACUUUGGAGGUAUCAGAAGUGAGAAUGCAGGAAUAAGUAGCGAGAAAGGGGGCGAGAAUCCCCCUCGCCGGAAGACCAAGGUUUUCAGGGUAAAGCUUGUCUUCCCUGAGUAAGCCGGGACCUAAGCCCAGGCUAUAAUGCGUAGGCGAAUGGAAAACAGAUUAAUAUUUCUGUGCCAGUCAUAUAUUGUGAUGGAGGGACGCAGAAGGGUAUGCGCGCGGACGAACGGAAGUGUCCGUAGAAGUAUGUAGGAUGACUUAGUAGGAAAAUCCAUUAAGUUAUAUCUGAGGUAUGAUAUAUAGUCGUAAGAUGAAUGCGCAAAUCCCACGCUGCCAAGAAAAGCUUCUAACGUUAAUUUAUGACUGCCCGUACUGCAAACCGACACAGGUGGUCAGGAUGAGAAAUCUAAGGCGGACAGGCUAACUCUCGUUAAGGAACUCUGCAAAAUAACCUCGUAACUUCGGGAGAAGAGGAGCCCUUGGGUGUUAGUAUCCAUGCGAUACAAAGCACUCGAGGGUCGCAGUGAAGAGGCUCAAGCAACUGUUUAACAAAAACACAGGUCUAUGCUAAGCUGGAAGGCGAUGUAUAUGGGCUGACACCUGCCCAGUGCUGGAAGGUUAAGAGGAGGAGUGAGAGCUCCGAAUUGAAGCCCCAGUGAACGGCGGCCGUAACUAUAACGGUCCUAAGGUAGCGAAAUUCCUUGUCGGGUAAGUUCCGACCUGCACGAAUGGUGUAAUGAUUUGAGCGCUGUCUUGACGGGAGGCCUGGUGAAAUUGUAUUACCGGUGAAGAUACCGGUUACCUACAGUAGGACGGAAAGACCCCAUGGAGCUUUACUGUAGCUUGGUAUUGGGUUUUGGCAUUGCAUGUAUAGGAUAGUUGGGAGACUGAGAUGAUAUGGCGCUAGCUGUAUCGGAGUCAUCGGUGGAAUACCAACCAUUCAAUGCUGAAAUUCUAAUCUGUGGUUUGUAGCCACGGAGACAGUGCUAGGUGGGCAGUUUGACUGGGGCGGUCGCCUCCGAAAGAGUAACGGAGGCGUUCAAAGGUUCUCUCAGGUUGGAUGGAAAUCAACCAUAGAGUGCAAUGGCAUAAGAGAGCUUGACUGCAAGACUGACGGGUCGAGCAGAUGCGAAAGCAGGACAUAGUGAUCCGGCGAUUCCGAAUGGAAGGGUCGUCGCUCAACGGAUAAAAGCUACCCUGGGGAUAACAGGCUGAUCCUACCCGAGAGUCCAUAUCGACGGUAGGGUUUGGCACCUCGAUGUCGGCUCAUCGCAUCCUGGGGCUGGAGAAGGUCCCAAGGGUUGGGCUGUUCGCCCAUUAAAGCGGUACGUGAGCUGGGUUCAGAACGUCGUGAGACAGUUCGGUCCCUAUCCACUGUAGGCGUUAGAAUAUUGAGAAGACCUGUCCUUAGUACGAGAGGACCGGGAUGGACAAACCUCUGAUGUACCAGUUGUCACGCCAGUGGCACAGCUGGGUAGUCACGUUUGGAAUAGAUAACCGCUGAAAGCAUCUAAGCGGGAAACUAACUUCAAGAUAAGUAUUCUUUAAGAUACCUUCGAGCCUAGGAGGUUAAUAGGUUGGGGGUGUAAGUACAGCAAUGUAUUUAGCUGACCAAUACUAAUUAUCGAAGUUUUAAUCUAAUUUGUUUUUACUAUAUAGUUUC